AUCAGCAGCCAUAUCACCCUGUAGCCCAAGACUGGUCGCCCACUGAGGCUAAGCAGGGUUGAGCCUGGUCAGUACCUGGAUGGGAGACCUCCUGGGGUAACUAGGUUGCAGCUGGAA
ensembl:rRNA 5S_rRNA 5S ribosomal RNA